CAAAGUAAAAUCGAUUUUCCAUUCUUUCCAGCGGUGAAAUAUCCCUUUAAGGCCUCUAGGAGGAAUUUUUAAAAAGUUCCAUGUAUAUGUUGUCACAUGACCUAUGACAUCAUGUCCGAGCUAUCGACUAUUCCUUCACAAUUUAGGGUCACAUUAGUCGUAUGAUUAUACCAACCAAAAAUUAAACUAAUCUGAUAAAUCCUCUAGCAAACACCUUG